UACAAAUCAACGAAGAAGAGAUUGCACAUGCGCAGUUCCUCCUGAGACGUUGGAUUUGAACCAUCACGCGGCAAAAGAACGUUUGUCUGGAUUUGGUUUGAAGCGUUAAUGCAGAGACUGCCAAGCAGGAAGUGCACUUCACGCUCCCGCUCAAGGUUCUGUCAGAGUUCUUUCGCUUAACCAGCAAAAACCUCAAAAUCGAGUUUUUCAAAGAACUGGACAAAUACACUCCUCGCUGUCUUGACAUUUUCAAGUCCAAGGGUGGAUGUACCGGCCAGAUACUUAAGGCGUAUUUGCAUCAUCAAAUCGCACUGGGGAAUACAGAUGUUACUGCUUAGUGAACAGCAGUCCUCCGUGGCCUUCCCAUCCUCCUUGGAGAUGAGAACAAAGACUUCUUCAAGACAUACUUUGACUGUGAUGAACCGGAACUGGCCAACACCUCCAUUGAGAUCCUAACAGUAAUCCCGGAAGGUACCCCACCUCAAGGAACACACCAACAUUUUGGGUUUUUAGCUUAUUCACUGUAUUCCCCAGAGUUAGAUAAGUCCAUACAUACCAUUUUCAUCUCUGUGUGUCCUGUAACUUUGUCUGACGCACCCACCGCUAGCUUAGCUUAGCACAAAGAUUGUAAGUAAAUGGCUUCAGCUAGCAUACUGCUCCCUAUAAGUGACAAAAUAACGCAAACAUUUUCCUAUUUAUAUGUUGUGAUUUGUAUAGUCACAGCGUGUACAAAUAACAAGGUCAUAUGAGACACAGCCAUCUUCUAACAAUAUACAUACAGGGAACUAUAGAAGCACUGCUACUUGGGUGGAGUGAUUUGUUCGCAGCACCUGAGAAGCCCCCUGGUGAGGAGAGAGUUGUGCUAAUCACUCCGCCCAAGUAUCAGUGCUUCAUCUGAGAAUAUAGUUUCCUGUAUGUAUACUGUUAAAAGAUGUCUGUCUCAUAUGACCUUGUUAUUUGUACACACUGUGACUAUACAAAUCGCAACAUAUAAAUAGGAAA